AGCAGUCGCCACGGUAAUACGGAGGGGGCUAGCGUUGUUCGGAAUUACUGGGCGUAAAGCGCACGUAGGCGGCUUGGUAAGUUAGAGGUGAAAGCCUGGAGCUCAACUCCAGAAUUGCCUUUAAGACUGCCGAGCUAGCAGGUGAGAGAGGUAAGUGGAAUUCCGAGUGUAGAGGUGAAAUUCGUAGAUAUUCGGAAGAACACCAGUGGCGAAGGCGGCUUACUGGCUCAUACUGGACGCUGAGGUGCGAAAGCGUGGGGAGCAAACAGGAUUAGAUACCCCGUAGUCCCUGUCUCUUAUACA
rnacentral:rRNA from 1 species